rnacentral:rRNA from 1 species
UACGUAGGCAGCAAGCGUUGUUCGGAAUUACUGGGCGUAAAGCGCGUGUAGGCGGUUGUUCAAGUCAGGUGUGAAAGCCUUGAGCUCAACUCAAGAAAUGCACUUGAUACUGGAUGACUAGAGGACCGGAGAGGAUAGUGGAAUUCCCAGUGUAGUGGUGAAAUACGUAGAGAUUGGGAAGAACACCAGUGGCGAAGGCGGCUAUCUGGACGGUUUCUGACGCUGAGGCACGAAAGCGUGGGGAGCAAACAGG